AGCGAACGUUAGCGGCGCGCCUAACACAUGCAAGUCGCACGAGAAAGGGGGCAACCCCCGGUACAGUGGCGCACGGGUGAGUAACACGUAGAUGACCUUCCCUGGAGUGGUGGAUAACCUGCCGAAAGGCGGGCUAAUACAGCAUGGGACCACACGGUUUUGGCCGAGUGGUGAAAGCGGGCCUCUGUUCACAAGCUCGCGCUCUGGGAUGGAUCUGCGGCCCAUCAGCUAGUUGGCGGGGUAACGGCCCACCAAGGCGACGAUGUCUAGCUGGUCUGAGAGGAUGAUCAGCCACACUGGGACUGAGACACGGCCCAGACUCCUACGGGAGGCAGCAGUAGGGAAUAUUGCGCAAUGGGCGAAAGCCUGACGCAGCCACGCCGCGUGAGUGAUGAAGGCC
rnacentral:rRNA from 1 species